GAUGAACGCUAGCUACAGGCUUAACACAUGCAAGUCGAGGGACCGGCGCACGGGUGAGUAACAAGUAUCCAACCUGCCCUUUACUCGGGGAUAGCCUUUCGAAAGAAAGAUUAAUACCAGAUGUAAAGGAUGGGGAUGCGUUCCAUUAGGUUGUUGGUGAGGAAACGGCUCACCAAGCCUUCGAUGGAUAGGGGUUCUGAGAGGAAGGGCCCCCACCAUGGAACUGCGACACGGUCCAAACUCCUACGCGAGGCAGCAGUGAGGAAUAGUGGGCAAUGGGCGUUAGCCUGAACCAGCCAAGUAGCGUGAAGGAGGAAUGCUUAUGGGUCGUAAACUUCUUUUAUAUAAGAAUAUGUAUUAUAUGAAUAAGGAUCGGCUAACUCCGUGUCAGCAGCCGCGGUAAUUC
rnacentral:rRNA from 1 species